rnacentral:rRNA from 1 species
AACGCGAAGAACCUUACCUGGGCUCGAACGGCUUAAGAUCAUCCUUGGAAACAGGGACUUCUCGCAAGAGACUUGAGUCGAGGUGCUGCAUGGCUGUCGUCAGCUCGUGUCGUGAGAUGUUGGGUUAAGUCCCGCAACGAGCGCAACCCUUGUCCUGUGUUGCCACUCCCGCAAGGGAAGCACUCUCAGGAGACCGCCAGCGAUAAGUUGGAGGAAGGUGGGGAUGAUGUCAAGUCAUCAUGGCCUUUAUGUCCAGGGCUACACACGUGCUACAAUGGGCGGUACAAAGCGCUGCAAACCCGCGAGGGGGAGCUAAUCGCAAAAAACCGUCCUCAGUUCGGAUCGCAGGCUGCAACUCGCCUGCGUGAAGCUGGAAUCGCUAGUAAUGGCGUAUCAGAACGACGCCGUGAAUACGUUCCCGGGCCUUGUACACACCGCUGUA